rnacentral:lncRNA from 1 species
GGUUGGACUUGAGAUCAGCUGGCUUCCAAAAUCCUCUCAUUUGCAACAGUUACUUUAUCCUCCCUGUGCACAGUGAUACAGUGUAACAGAGGACAGUUGCUCCUUAGCAGGGCCACAGAGUUACCUUGGAAAGGUUUGUCUCGUCCUGGCUUAAGAGGAACUCCUGCGGAGACGGGGGAGGGACGGAGCAGCCCGGGGCCAGGGGCUGGCUGCUGGCUCAGACUGAAGUGGAAUUUGGCCUUGGGGUGAAGAAAGAGGGGUUCCCUGGGAUCUGCAAUCCUGCACUGCCAUCUACUGCCAGUCCUUGGUUAUGGCCCGAGUGACAACGCUGAAACACGCUUCAUCCAUUCUUGGUUGACUGCUCACAGGAGCCCGG